GGCGACGUAGCCAAGUGGUCUAAGGCGGAGGUCUGCAAAACCUCUAUUCGGCGGUUCGAAUCCGCCCGUCGCCUCCA
rnacentral:tRNA from 4 species